GAACAGCCGGCCUGCUGCCGGGAUCAGUGAUGGGGUUCCCAAGGCUCCGCAGAUGGGGAGCAAUGCUUGGCCAGGCGUGCACACAGUUGCUGGACUUGAAGAUGCCUAAAAUCAAGUGAAAGAAAUCCCACCUGUACCACCAUCUGCUUUUCCCACAGCCUCUCUGCCACAGAGAAGCGGAGCAAUGAUCUUAUCUGCAAAAUCAACCUGAAAGCAGAUUUUUAACUCCUCUACUCAGAUUAGACCCAACCAACAAACCAAAUAUGGUGGGAAUUCUGCUGACAUUAAUGGGAUUGGGAUCAAGCCUGGAAAUUUGGCAGCAUUUCUUGCUUCAUUAAAUAAACCCCUCUUGGUUGAGGAUUUGUUGCACA